GGAAGGAUCAUUGAAUUAUUAAAAACCACUAUGUGAACCUCAACGUUUCAUGCCUUAGCUGCCGGCGGGGUAACCAUUUGCUUACCACUCGCAGCUGGUUCUGGCACUGCUGCCUGGAGCCAGUGGCGCUCUGGCAUGCCCUAUCACACCAUUGCCAACACCUAUUAAAACUAAACUCUGAAGCUACGACUGCUAGUAACUGGCGGUCUUAACCAAAGAUAACUCUCAACAACGGAUAUCUUGGCUCUCGCAACGAUGAAGAACGCAGCGAAAUGCGAUACGUAGUGUGAAUUGCAGAAUUCCGUGAACCAUCGAAUCUUUGAACGCAUAUUGCGCUCGAGCCUUCGGGCAAGAGCAUGUCUGCCUCAGCGUCGGUUUAUACCAUCACCCCUCCCAUUUAUGGGUCCGUUAACUCAGUGUUAACCAUAGGAGUGGAUCUGGCUUCCCCAAACCAUUGCUCAACGGAUUGGGUUAGCUGAAGCACAGAGGCUUAAACAAGGACCCGAUAAGGGCUUCAACUGGAUAGGUAGUAUCGGCUUUUGCCGCCUACACGAAGUUGUAGCUUGUGGACUUUGUUAGGGGCCAAGCAGGAAACAUGUUCACUACAUGUCUAAACUUUCGACCUGAGCUCAGGCAAGGCUACCCGCUGAACUUAAGCAUAUCAAUAAGCGGAGGAAAAGAAACUAACAAGGAUGCGCUUAGUAACGGCGAGCGAACCGCGCAAAGCCCAACUUGAAAAUCUCCCUUGGAGAAUUGUAGUCUAUAGAAGUACCCUCUGCAACGGGCUGAGCUAAAGUCUCCUGGAAAGGAGCGUCAGAGAGGGUGAGAACCCCGUAAGCUCACGCUUUGUUGCCUCACGAGGUGCUUUCAAAGAGUCGGGUUGCUUGGGAAUGCAGCCCAAAUUUGGUGGUAAAUCCCAUCUAAGGCUAAAUAUUGGCGAGAGACCGAUAGCGAACAAGUACCGUGAGGGAAAGAUGAAAAGAACUUUGAAAAGAGAGUUAAAAAGUGCUUGAAAUUGUUGAGGGGGAAGCGUUUGAAUGCUAGGGUGCGCCUAGGCUUAUGGGUCCUUAACGGGGCUCUGUAUGUGCUAGGUGCUGGCCAGCAUGGGUUAGGCUAGUGGGAUAAAAGCUGGGGUUGAUACCCGGUCUAUGCCACUGGCUUGACCAAGGCGUGAAGACUGCCCUUGUCCUUCGGGAACUGCAGUCUCAAGAUGCUGGCAAAAGGCUUUCAACCGACCCGUCUUGAAACACGGACCAAGGAGUCUAACAUGUAUGCGAGUUGGUGGGUGGAAAACCCAUGAAGCGUAAGGAAACUGACUGGUGGGAUGGCCUGUGCCUGCACCAUCGACCGACCAUGCGUUUCUGCAAAAGGUUUGAGUGCGAGCAUACCUGUUGGGACCCGAAAGAUGGUGAACUAUGCCUGAGCAGGGUGAAGCCAGGUGAAAACCUGGUGGAGGCUCGUAGAUGUGCUGACGUGCAAAUCGCUUUUCGGACUUGGGUAUAGGGGCGAAAGACUAAUCGAACCAUCUAGUAGCUGGUUUCCUC
rnacentral:misc_RNA from 1 species